AUUGAACGCUGGCGGCAUGCUUUACACAUGCAAGUCGAACGGCAGCGCGGGCUUCGGCCUGGCGGCGAGUGGCGAACGGGUGAGUAAUGCAUCGGAACGUGCCCAGUAGUGGGGGAUAGCCCGGCGAAAGCCGGAUUAAUACCGCAUACGACCUGAGGGUGAAAGCGGGGGACCGAAAGGCCUCGCGCUAUUGGAGCGGCCGAUGUCGGAUUAGCUAGUUGGUGGGGUAAAGGCUUACCAAGGCGACGAUCCGAAGCUGGUCUGAGAGGACGACCAGCCACACUGGGACUGAGACACGGCCCAGACUCCUACGGGAGGCAGCAGUGGGGAAUUUUGGACAAUGGGGGCAACCCUGAUCCAGCCAUGCCGCGUGCGGGAAGAAGGCCUUCGGGUUGUAAACCGCUUUUGUUCGGGAAGAAAUCCUCUGGGCUAAUACCCCGGGGGGAUGACGGUACCGGAAGAAUAAGCACCGGCUAACUACGUG
rnacentral:rRNA from 1 species